CUACGGGUCGCUGCAGUGGGGAAUAUUGGACAAUGGGCGAAAGCCUGAUCCAGCAAUGCCGCGUGUGCGAUGAAGGCCUGAGGGUUGUAAAGCACUUUCGUUGGGAAAGAAAUGCUCAAAGCUAAUACCUUUGAGAGUUGACGUUACCCAAAGAAGAAGCACCGGCUAACUCUGUGCCAGCAGCCGCGGUAAUACAGAGGGUGCAAGCGUUAAUCGGAGUUACUGGGCGUAAAGGGCGCGUAGGCGGAUACUUAAGUCGGAUGUGAAAUCCCUGGGCUCAACCUAGGAACUGCGUUCGAUACAAAGUGCCUAGAGUAUGGUAGAGGAAAGUGGAAUUCCCGGUGUAGUGGUAAAAUACGUAGAUAUCGGGAGGAACAUCAGUGGCGAAGGCGACUUUCUGGGCCAAUACUGACGCUGAGGCGCGAAAGCGUGGGGAGCAAACAGGAUUAGAUACCCGUGUAGUC
rnacentral:rRNA from 1 species